GACGUAGGGCGCGAGCGUUGUCCGGAUUUAUUGGGCGUAAAGAGCUCGUAGGCGGUGUGUCGCGUCGGCCGUGAAAACCUGCAGCUUAACUGUGGGCUUGCGGUCGAUACGGGCAUCACUGGAGUUCGGCAGGGGAGACUGGAAUCCUGGUGUAGCGGUGAAAUGCGCAGAUAUCAGGAGGAACACCGGUGGCGAAGGCGGGUCUCUGGACAGUUCCAUGACGGCUGAGGCACGGAAGGUCAGGGGAGCAAACGGG
rnacentral:rRNA from 1 species